AUAAAGAAUAUUUGCCUUUAUGAAUCACAGGUCUGGCCGACUGUCAGCUAACACCUUCGCUUUUUUCAUCUAAGCCUCUAAGCUAUCUUGUUCUUCUCAAAUUUUGCGCCCAAGACAAGUUUUUUUUUCUUUUUAAUAUUUGAAUCAACUCCCUUUUCACUAACCCUAAUCAUUCGUAUCAUUUUCGCAGGCAAAACGGUGUUGAAGCAGAGAGAAGAAGCGGGAUUUUCCCCCUCAAUUGUGCUCAAAAUAAUUUAAAAUGGCUGGAAGAAAUCGCAUUCCUCGCGAAGCAUUCAAUGACCGGCAUGGAUUUCCUCCUGAAAGAUCUUUCCUCCGUGGUCCUCCUCUGCCACAACAACGUCCUCAUCCUGUGUUGUUGGAGGAAGAACUUGAAAUGCAGCAUGCAGAAAUUCGGAGGCUUUUGACUGAUAACAGCAGGCUGGUAGAAGAUCGAAUAGCUAUACAACAAGAGCUUGGUGCUGCGAAAGAGGAAAUUCAUCGUUUAAAUCUUUUCAUUGGUGACGUUCGUGCUGAGCAAGAGCUGUACUCAAGGGGACUUAUUGACAAAGGCUUGAAGCUGGAAGCAGAUCUGCGUGCAACUGAGCCAAUUAAAAAAGAGGUUGUGCAACUUCGUGCAGAAGUUCAGAAACUGAAUAAUAAUAAGCAGGAACUAACUGGUCAAGUUCAGGCUCUCAAACAAGAUGUUGGCAGGCUGCAAGCUGAUAAUCAACAGAUACCUGUUCUGAGACCAGAAAUUGAUGGCCUGCACCAGGAAUUGAUGCAUGCAAGGAAUGCUAUUGAUUAUGAAAAGAAGGCAAAUAUUGAGCUUUUGGAACAGAGACAAGCAAUGGAGAAGAACAUGGUCUCCAUGGCACGUGAGGUUGAAAAGCUACGUGCAGAACUUGCCAUUGUUGAUGGUAGACCUUGGGCUGCUGCUCAAGGUGGACCAUAUGGCAUGAAAUUCCACAGUUCAGAGGGGGCUUUUCCAGCUUCAUAUGAAGGAUACGGAGCUCGUCUGGCUGGUGCUAAUAAGGGUCCUUUUCAUGGUCCUUGUCCUGGGACUUGGGAGAAGUCCCGCAAUACUCAUCGCUAGGAAAGUUAUUGCUUGAUGCAAGAAAGGUGAAAUUGUUGCUCUAUUUUGGAAGUGCAAAAUAUUGACCAGCAUGGGGUUAUAAUCAUCUAUGUUUCAUGCAACAGCCGUAAUUUUUAUCUUAAUACAUUAUUGGUACCUGGUAUACAUCACACGAAAUGGUGAAGAAAGAUCAUGUAUGCAUAUACAUGAUGUUGAGGAAAUAUGAUGAAUGAGUGGUUGUUUUGGUGCACGCUUCGUUGAGGAGGACUGACGAUUUGUAUGAUGAAGAAUCUACUGGCUUGGUGUCUGGACCUUCAUCGUCCUCAUAAUUCUGGGUUUCUUUUUCACUUAUCAUUCGUGUGGGGUUUAAAGUGAGUCAUAUAUUGCUUUCAGUGUGGUAUUGACCUUUUUUUUUCUUUUAGUUGUCUGUUUCCAAGUGUUGUGUAGUUUAACAUUGUUAAGUGCCAAAUCAAAGAUGAUGUGGUUUUAUCCUCUGAAUCAUGGAUUGAAUGGGAUUUCUGCAAGUGGUUGAUCCAACGUUGUUUUCAUUUUCUUUUCUGGAUAAUUUCAUUCAUUCAAAGAACCGAAAAUACAA